GUAUAAUUAGCUCAGUUGGUUAGAGCAUGGUGUUAAUAAUGCCAAGAUUGUGGGUUUGAUCCCCAUAUGGGCCA
rnacentral:tRNA from 1 species